rnacentral:rRNA from 1 species
AAACUAACCAGGAUUCCCUUAGUAACGGCGAGUGAAGCGGGACAAGCUCAGACUGAAAAUCUUCGGAAUUGUAGUCUGGAGAAGUCAAAUCAACUUCAAGUUUCGGAUAAAGUCUCUUGGAACAGAGCGCCGUGGAGGGUGAUAGCCCCGUUCAUGUCUGAAACGAAAAGUGUACGAUUGGCUUUCUAAGAGUCGAGUUGUUUGGGAUUGCAGCUCUAAGUGGGUGGUAAAUUCCAUCUAAAGCUAAAUAUAAAUGGGAGACCGAUAGCGAACAAGUACCGUGAGGGAAAGAUGCAAAGAACUUUGAAAAGAGAGUUAAAUAGUACCUGAAAUUGCUGAAAUGGAACCGAUGGGAGGCAGUGUCGGCUGGGUGGUACUUGUAUCAUUUAGCAAGUCAGGCUUUCUUAGUUAUGUGGGAAAGGCUUCUAGACCAGUUUGGGCUAGUUUUGCUGUCAUGUGACUGAGAGACUCUGACGAAAUGCCUCUUAUCAAC